GCUCCUUUAGUUCAGUGGUAGAACGCGUGACUCGUAAAACCCAGCUGGCCGAGCCCGGGCGAUGGUGUUCCAUCGGGUGUCCCUCCUGGGUGCGCCAGGGGUGGAGUAAUCACGAGGUCCUCGGUUCAAUCCCGAGAGGGAGCU